ACUUUUUUCACUUUUUUCACUUUUUUCACUAUUUUCACUUUUUUUUACUUUGGAUCCUUUUUGAGGGACCGUUUUUCUAUCUUCUUUCUCUAAUUUCGAAAAGAAAGAGAGAGAGGCAGCAAAAGAAGAAGAGAGCUGGGAAGAGUUGUUGUUUGGAGUGUUAUUGUCGUUGUUAUCGUUGUUUGAUUUUCUCGGAGAAGAAGAAGA
rnacentral:ribozyme from 13 species